UUUCUUGCGAGGUGGUUUGGCAAGCUUCCCACACCUUGGCUUGGAUUUCCCAAGGACAUAUGAGCGGCAUAAUUCUUCAAUGUUGUCUCAUAAUGUUUGUGAAAAACAGCGAGCUCCCAGAGUGUGGUACUGUCAGCAUUGGAGUAUUCUGGAUCCGAGAUCUCAGGACGAAAUACGCCGCUCCCUGCACAAUCAUUGUCCAAGAUCAUUCCGCUCAUUGUAUUCAUCUGGAGGUCAAAAGGUGUUGUUAGGGCAUUUGUAAUGUAUAACAUAUGGAUAAAUAUUUGGAUAAUUUUGGGCAUUAUAUAUUUUGGAUUUUGUAGAUUAAAUUAACCAACUGAAGCUACUUCACGAGAUAUUGCGUGCGCUUGUAUCGAGUAUAGGUGCGCAUUUAUUGAGAAUUUGUUUAUUUAUUAAACUUCGCCACUUAAAAAUACAAGAGGCAAGGUCACCACAGUAUACAAC
rnacentral:lncRNA from 1 species